GGGGCUGUAGCUCAGCUGGGAGAGCACCUGCUUUGCAAGCAGGGGGUCGUCGGUUCGAUCCCGUCCAGCUCCA
rfam:Nitratireductor pacificus pht-3B contig23, whole genome shotgun sequence.